AAUCAAUCAUCCAACCCACCAGUGACCGUUUCUUCUAAGGGGAAGAAUUUCGUCAUGUGUGGUUAGAAUUGGAAUGUAGCUCAAAUGUUGGGAAGUUUCUUAUGCUUUUAGGAUAGGAACCUAGGUACCACACUGAGGUCAUCUCUUUAUAUGGUUUCCAUUUCGAACUCAAAGCUCAUCGGCUGGGUAAAGCCUGCACUUACCAAUUCUACAUGCAGCGUUUAAAACCUCAUGAUCCUACACUGUCAUUCAAAGCGUGCGAACGUCAAACAUUUUCAAUGAGACAAGAUCGUGAAGUGCGCUACAGCAUCCGAAUCCAAUGCAAGGCUGAUGGGCAAGAACGCUUGUUCAACACAGGGAUACUCAGUAAGAAGUUUGGACUGGGCUCCAAGACAAGUCGCAGUGAAGUUCUUACAUUAGAGGGCCUAUCUCUACCGAUUUGUGUCACAUUUUCUCUUCUAUUCCCACCUUCAUAAGAAAGUAAAAUUAUGCCUUAAUAUUUCAAAUCGAUUAUAUAUUUAAUACAUUAUGAUUUGAAAUUAUUAAAUUUAGAAAUCAGAAUAAUCAUUUUGAUUUGAUGUGUUUCUAAUUAUGUUCAGUGAAUUAUGUGCUAUCAAGAAUUAUCAUUAUUCCUGACUUUUAAACAUUAACAGGGACAAUAUUUUAUAUACUGCUAUGUGUGCAGUGGUGUAACGGCUAUGCUCUCUUGUGCAGCGGUCUGCAAUGCCCCCGACACCUAGGGUCGUCGCACUAGCACCCUGAUGCAGAAGAGCUUUGAUGAUACAUAACAGCAUAUUGUGUGUCUGACAUUGACUGUAGGACAUGUGAAAGAUUGAAGUGGAGACAACAGAAAAUUAUAUUCAAAUUUUAAGUCUGUGAGUGCCAUUUCCGGGGCGGUGGGUGGGUUAGAGAUAUUUUAAUUCCCCCCACUUCCUAAAUUUUAACCCAGAUCUGCCCUGAUAUAUAGCUGUGAUCCUAGAAUAUUCAAAAUUCCUUUUAUUAUAAUUAUUUUUAAUAAUUAGGGUAAUGGUUAUCAUGAUAAUUAUAGUUAGGUUUAGUGUGGGAACUCUGUUUAUAAUCAUAAAUUUAGUACAGACCCUCCAUCUGUGAAAGGGUGGUACAGACCCUCCAUCUGUGAAAUAGACCGCCUCUAUUUAAAUUUCUGGAUCCGCCACUGAUAUAUCAUUUAUAUAAUUUGAACCCAGAUUUGCCCUAAUAUGCAUCUGUGAUCCUACAAUAUUCAAAUAAUUCCUUUUAUUAUUAUUAUUAUUAUUAUUUUCCUUUUUUCUUCUUUAUGGUUAUCAUGAUAAUUAUGGUUAGGGUUAGUGUGGUAAUUCUGUUUAUAAUCAUAAAUUUAGUACAGACCCUCCAUCGAGCACAUCUAAAAACCCAUGCAUAGAUAUGUCUCAAUGAGAUUCCAUGCAGUACAGUAUUAAGAAUACUUUAGAAGAUGAUAAACCAAAGUAUAUUAAUAUAGAUUUAAGUCAUUCUUGUUAUAAAAUGAUGUAGUAAGCGCUUUAAAUGUUAUACAGUAUUGCUAUAGGAUGCGAGUUUUCUAAACUAAUGUCUAUGCGAUUCGCAAUUUUCUUUAAAUACAAAUCAGUAUUUUUUGUAUCUUCUAAAUUGUAGGGAUUAUUAAAUGUGAUUUUAUAACUAA
rnacentral:lncRNA from 1 species